rnacentral:tRNA from 1 species
GCUUUGGUAGCUCAGUCGGAAGAGCGUCAGUCUCAUAAUCUGAAGGUCGAGAGUUCGAACCUCCCCAGAGCA